UCCGCCUUAGCUCAGCGGUAGUAGCGCUUCACUAGUAACAAGAUCAGUAGCUUAUGAAGAGGUCAGUCGUUCAAAUCGGCUAGGCGGAA
rnacentral:tRNA from 1 species